GCUUAUAUUUCAACAACUUAAAAAUUUAGAAAAUUCAAUUGCGUCAUCUGCAGUACCAUCAGGUAAUGUGUUUUGCAUUCUUAUGCCGUUUUAAGAGUGGUAUGUGUGUUAAAACUUAAAGAUAGCAUAUCUUAAUUUACAGAUUACUUUAUUUAUUUAUUUUUUUGUCUCUACAUUAGCACCUCAAGCAAUAAUAUCAGGUAAUCUGCUUAGCAUACUUAUGCAGUUUU